GUUGUAUGGUUAAGUGACUAAGCGUACACGGUGGAUGCCUGGGCAGUCAGAGGCGAUGAAGGACGUACUAACUUGCGAUAAGCGCAGAUAAGGCAGUAAGAGCCGUUUGAGUCUGCGAUUUCCGAAUGGGGAAACCCAACUGCAUAAGCAGUUACUGUUAACUGAAUACAUAGGUUAACAGAGCAAACCGGGGGAACUGAAACAUCUAAGUACCCCGAGGAGAAGAAAUCAACCGAGAUUCCGGUAGUAGCGGCGAGCGAACCUGGAUUAGCCCUUAAGCACUCGGUGAAGUAGGUGAACAAGCUGGAAAGCUUGGCGAUACAGGGUGAUAGCCCCGUAACCGACGCUUCAUCGAGCGUGAAAUCGAGUAGGGCGGGACACGUGAUAUCCUGUCUGAAUAUGGGGGGACCAUCCUCCAAGGCUAAAUACUCCUGACUGACCGAUAGUGAACCAGUACCGUGAGGGAAAGGCGAAAAGAACCCCUGUGAGGGGAGUGAAAUAGAACCUGAAACCGUGUACGUACAAGCAGUAGGAGCACCUUCGUGGUGUGACUGCGUACCUUUUGUAUAAUGGGUCAGCGACUUAUAUUCAGUGGCAAGGUUAACCGUAUAGGGGAGCCGUAGCGAAAGCGAGUCUUAACUGGGCGCUUAGUCUCUGGAUAUAGACCCGAAACCGGGUGAUCUAGCCAUGGGCAGGUUGAAGGUUGAGUAACAUCAACUGGAGGACCGAACCGACUAAUGUUGAAAAAUUAGCGGAUGACUUGUGGCUAGGGGUGAAAGGCCAAUCAAACUCGGAGAUAGCUGGUUCUCCCCGAAAGCUAUUUAGGUAGCGCCUCGGACGAAUACUACUGGGGGUAGAGCACUGUUAAGGCUAGGGGGUCAUCCCGACUUACCAACCCUUUGCAAACUCCGAAUACCAGUAAGUACUAUCCGGGAGACACACGGCGGGUGCUAACGUCCGUCGUGGAGAGGGAAACAACCCAGACCGCCAGCUAAGGUCCCAAAGUAUUGCUAAGUGGGAAACGAUGUGGGAAGGCUCAGACAGCUAGGAUGUUGGCUUAGAAGCAGCCAUCAUUUAAAGAAAGCGUAAUAGCUCACUAGUCGAGUCGGCCUGCGCGGAAGAUGUAACGGGGCUAAGCAAUACACCGAAGCUGCGGCAAUGUCUUUUAGACAUUGGGUAGGGGAGCGUUCUGUAAGCCGUUGAAGGUGAAUCGUAAGGUUUGCUGGAGGUAUCAGAAGUGCGAAUGCUGACAUGAGUAACGACAAAGGGGGUGAAAAACCUCCUCGCCGGAAGACCAAGGGUUCCUGUCCAACGUUAAUCGGGGCAGGGUGAGUCGACCCCUAAGGUGAGGCCGAAAGGCGUAAUCGAUGGGAAACGGGUUAAUAUUCCCGUACUUCUGACUAUUGCGAUGGGGGGACGGAGAAGGCUAGGUGGGCCAGGCGACGGUUGUCCUGGUUCAAGUGCGUAGGCUUGAGAGUUAGGUAAAUCCGGCUCUCUUUAAGGCUGAGACACGACGUCGAGCUGCUACGGCAGUGAAGUCAUUGAUGCCAUGCUUCCAGGAAAAGCCUCUAAGCUUCAGAUAGUCAGGAAUCGUACCCCAAACCGACACAGGUGGUCGGGUAGAGAAUACCAAGGCGCUUGAGAGAACUCGGGUGAAGGAACUAGGCAAAAUGGUACCGUAACUUCGGGAGAAGGUACGCUCUUGAUGGUGAAGUCCCUCGCGGAUGGAGCUGACGAGAGUCGCAGAUACCAGGUGGCUGCAACUGUUUAUUAAAAACACAGCACUGUGCAAAAUCGCAAGAUGACGUAUACGGUGUGACGCCUGCCCGGUGCCGGAAGGUUAAUUGAUGGGGUUAGCGCAAGCGAAGCUCUUGAUCGAAGCCCCGGUAAACGGCGGCCGUAACUAUAACGGUCCUAAGGUAGCGAAAUUCCUUGUCGGGUAAGUUCCGACCUGCACGAAUGGCGUAAUGAUGGCCACGCUGUCUCCACCCGAGACUCAGUGAAAUUGAAAUCGCUGUGAAGAUGCAGUGUACCCGCGGCUAGACGGAAAGACCCCGUGAACCUUUACUACAGCUUGGCACUGAACAUUGAACCUACAUGUGUAGGAUAGGUGGGAGGCUAUGAAGACGUGACGCCAGUUGCGUUGGAGCCGUCCUUGAAAUACCACCCUUGUAUGUUUGAUGUUCUAACUUAGACCCAUUAUCUGGGUUGAGGACAGUGCCUGGUGGGUAGUUUGACUGGGGCGGUCUCCUCCCAAAGAGUAACGGAGGAGCACGAAGGUGGGCUAAUCACGGUUGGACAUCGUGAGGUUAGUGCAAUGGCAUAAGCCCGCUUAACUGCGAGAAUGACGGUUCGAGCAGGUGCGAAAGCAGGUCAUAGUGAUCCGGUGGUUCUGUAUGGAAGGGCCAUCGCUCAACGGAUAAAAGGUACUCCGGGGAUAACAGGCUGAUACCGCCCAAGAGUUCAUAUCGACGGCGGUGUUUGGCACCUCGAUGUCGGCUCAUCACAUCCUGGGGCUGAAGUCGGUCCCAAGGGUAUGGCUGUUCGCCAUUUAAAGUGGUACGCGAGCUGGGUUUAGAACGUCGUGAGACAGUUCGGUCCCUAUCUGCCGUGGGCGUUGGAAGAUUGAAGGGGGCUGCUCCUAGUACGAGAGGACCGGAGUGGACGAACCUCUGGUGUUCGGGUUGUGUCGCCAGACGCAUUGCCCGGUAGCUAAGUUCGGAAUUGAUAAGCGCUGAAAGCAUCUAAGCGCGAAGCGAGCCCUGAGAUGAGUCUUCCCUGA
rnacentral:rRNA from 1 species